rnacentral:rRNA from 1 species
AUGAAGGUUUUGUUAUUGUAAACUUCUUUUCUCAGGGACGAUAAUGACGGUACCUGAGGAAUAAGGGACGGCAAACUAUGUGCCAGCAGCCGCGGUAAUACAUAGGUCCCAAGCGUUAUCCGGAAUUACUGGGCGUAAAGCGUCUGCAGGUGGAAAAGUGUGUGAGAUGUGAAAGACCGGGGCUCAACCCCGUGUUUGUGUCUCAAACUGCUUUUCUCGAGUGAGCAAGAGGUAUGCGGAAUUUAUGGAGUAGGAGUGCAAUCCGUUGACACCAUAAAGAACAUCAAAAGCGAAGGCAGCAUACUGGGGCUCUACUGACACUCAGAGACGAAAGCGUGGGGAGCGAAAGGGAUUAGAUACCCCUGUAGUCCACGCCCUAAACUAUGAUGACUAGGUGUUGGUCCUUCGGGAUCAGUGCCGUAGCUAACGCGUUAAGUCAUCCGCCUGAGUAGUACGACCGCAAGGUUAAAACUCAAAUGAAUAGACGGGGGCCCACACAAGCAGUGGAUCAUGCGGUUUAAUUCGAUACUGAACGAGGAACCUUACCCAGACUUGAUAUCUACGAAAGUCCGCAGAAAUGUAGACGUGCCCUCACGGGAAUCGUAAGACAGGUGCUGCAUGGUUGCCGUCAGCUCGUGCCUUGAGGUGUUCGGUUGAGUCCGUUAACGAGCGAAACCCAUGUCGUUAGUUAUUAUGUCUAACGAGACUGCCCGAGUUAAUCGGGAGGAAGGUGUGGAUGACGUCAAAUCAGCAUGGCCCUUAUGUCUGGGGCUACACGCAUGAUACAAUGGUCGGUACAAAGAGUCGCAAACUGGCGACAGUAAGCUAAUCUCAUAAAGCCGAUCUCAGUCCGGAUUGUAGGCUGCAACUCGCCUACAUGAAGUUGGAAUUGCU